CUCGUGUCGUGAGAUGUUGGGUUAAGUCCGCAACGAGCGCAACCCUUGCCCUUAGUUGCCAGCAGUUCGGCUGGGCACUCUAAGGNNACUGCCGGUGACAAACCGGAGGAAGGUGGGGAUGACGUCAAGUCCUCAUGGHCUUUAUGUCCAGGGCUACACACGUGCUACAAUGGCGCAUACAGAGGGAUGCCAACUCGCNAGAGGGAGCCGACCCCAGAAAGUGCGCCGUAGUUCGGAUUGCAGUCUGCAACUCGACUGCAUGAAGUCGGAAUCGCUAGUAAUCGCGGAUCAGCACGCCGCGGUMAAUACGU
rnacentral:rRNA from 1 species